GGACAGACGGACAGACGGACAUGACGAAACUAUAAGGGUUCCGUUUUUGCCAUUUUGGCUACGGAACCCUAAAAACGGUCCUUAAAAAAUGACACUGCAAGAAUCGAAUAUGACAUUUCGUUCCCCUCCUCGUACUUCACCCCCUCCAAUAUUCGGGCGCCAUUGAGAAUUUGCAUGACAGUGACAGCCAGCACGCCAGGCCGCCAUUGCUUAUUGUUGUUGAGAAGUGCUUGCGUCGAUUAAUUUCCGCCUCUUUAAAUCCACAAUUUGUGCAAUAUCGUGUAAAUUUUCGGCAAUGUUUCGAAAGUGUUGUGUGCCGUUUGCAAUAAUAAACGACAGGACGUUAAAUUGCAUAAAUUACCCGCUGCAGAGGACAGCAAAAACCGGUGGUUAAAGUGCAUAGGUUACGAAAAUAUUGGUGAAAUAAUCACCACGAACAUGUUUGUGUGCCAUAAACAUUUUGAACAGAGGUUUGUUAACCCGAUGACUAAUCGUUUGAAGGGUGAUGCCUAUCCAUCCUUGUUUACUGACUUGGAGAUUUCCUCAGGACAUCCGUCACCGGUCCUUACAGAAACAGAUGCCAAGAAGACAACAGAUCAUAGUUAUUCCAAGAAGCGCCACAUUGACCAUUCAUAUGCACAACCACCAAAUAAAAUGGCAUGCCUUGAAGUUAAGGGUAUGUAGUAGUAUUUUAGUAAAAUAAAAAACUAUUUAAAUAA